rnacentral:rRNA from 1 species
UACGUAGGGUGCGAGCGUUGUCCGGAAUUAUUGGGCGUAAAGAGCGUGUAGGCGGCCAGGUAGGUCCGUUGUGAAAACUGGAGGCUUAACCUCCAGCUGUCGAUGGAAACCAUCUGGCUAGAGUCCGGAAGAGGAGAGUGGAAUUCCUGGUGUAGCGGUGAAAUGCGCAGAUAUCAGGAAGAACACCCGUGGCGAAGGCGGCUCUCUGGGACGGUACUGACGCUGAGACGCGAAAGCGUGGGGAGCGAACAGG